rnacentral:rRNA from 1 species
CCUACGGGUGGCAGCAGUGGGGAAUAUUGCACAAUGGGCGCAAGCCUGAUGCAGCCAUGCCGCGUGUGUGAAGAAGGCCUUCGGGUUGUAAAGCACUUUCAGCGGGGAGGAAGGCGUUAAGGUUAAUAACCUUGGCGAUUGACGUUACCCGCAGAAGAAGCACCGGCUAACUCCGUGCCAGCAGCCGCGGUAAUACGGAGGGUGCAAGCGUUAAUCGGAAUUACUGGGCGUAAAGCGCACGCAGGCGGUCUGUCAAGUCGGAUGUGGAAUCCCCGGGCUCAACCUGGGAACUGCAUUCGAAACUGGCAGGCUAGAGUCUUGUAGAGGGGGGUAGAAUUCCAGGUGUAGCGGUGAAAUGCGUAGAGAUCUGGAGGAAUACCGGUGGCGAAGGCGGCCCCCUGGACAAAGACUGACGCUCAGGUGCGAAAGCGUGGGGAGCAAACAGGAUUAGAUACCCGGGUAGUC